rnacentral:rRNA from 1 species
CCUACGGGAGGCAGCAGUGGGGAAUAUUGCACAAUGGGCGAAAGCCUGAUGCAGCGACGCCGCGUGAGGGAUGACGGCCUUCGGGUUGUAAACCUCUUUCAGCAGGGAAGAAGCGAGAGUGACGGUACCUGCAGAAGAAGCGCCGGCUAACUACGUGCCAGCAGCCGCGGUAAUACGUAGGGCGCAAGCGUUGUCCGGAAUUAUUGGGCGUAAAGAGCUCGUAGGCGGCUUGUUGCGUCGGUUGUGAAAGCCCGGGGCUUAACCCCGGGUCUGCAGUCGAUACGGGCAGGCUAGAGUGUGGUAGGGGAGAUCGGAAUUCCUGGUGUAGCGGUGAAAUGCGCAGAUAUCAGGAGGAACACCGGUGGCGAAGGCGGAUCUCUGGGCCAUUACUGACGCUGAGGAGCGAAAGCGUGGGGAGCGAACAGGAUUAGAUACCCUGGUAGUCCACGCCGUAAACGUUGGGAACUAGGUGUUGGCGACAUUCCACGUCGUCGGUGCCGCAGCUAACGCAUUAAGUUCCCCGCCUGGGGAGUACGGCCGCAAGGCUAAAACGUCAAAUGAAUUGACGGCUGAGACGNGCGACGACGACGACGAGGGAGGAGG